GCCUCCUGUCCCGGCACUGCUGUAGAGCUCAUGUUUGAGCACUGUCUGAUGCUGGGCACCCUAUUUGUGCCUAAUGGUCCUGGCCCCGUCCUUGCCACCCUGGCAAAUUUCCUGUUCUCCUGGUGUUUCCAGGUGCUGGGCCCCCAGAGAACGCAUGCAAAAGUCCAGGAAAGCUAGGGACGUGGGACUGCUCUACCACCCACAGUACUGUUAGCUGAGCAGACCUUCA